GGGAAGCCUGAGGCAAAGAGGAGGGGGGACACAAUGCUGCAUGCUCAGAAGCCAUGAAACAAAUCAUUAAGCAGCAGUAAUCCAUGCUUCUCAAUACACAAGAAUCGUAUAUAUUCUUUCAUAGCAGACCUUCCAAGUCAUCAUCUUCUUCCGAUUUCCUGACUGCAGUCUCCACUCUGAUUAAUUAUUGAGACAAGAUGUCAGGAAACCAUGACAAGGAGAAUCCUGGGUCGAUCUUGACAAUUCAGUAUUGUUCGGCACAAAAUUUGCAUAUUAAAUGCUUUUUGUGCAGGGAACACUAUUUACUGCACACACACACAAAAAUAUUUCUAUGCAAAGAAAUCUCGUGUGGAUUUUGCUCUGAACUGCAAAUUGUCUUCAAAAGACAUAUA